UUCUAUUUUCUUUACAAAUAGUAGUACCUGCUCAAUGCUCUUUGUUAAUAGCCGCUAUAUUCAGUGCUAAGGUAGCAUAAUCAUUAGCCUUUUAAUUUAAGGAUAGAAUGAAAGGUUUAACAUAUGGAUAUCUUUAUUGAUUAGUUUUCUUUAACUUUACUUGAAAGUAAAAAGGCUUUCAUUUUUAGGGAAGACAACAAGACCCUAUCGAGCUUAACCUUUAGUUUAACUGGGGAGGUAAUCAACCAAAUCUUUAUUUAAUUUUCUCCCUAACUCUUUCUAAAGAAUUUUACCAAGUUACCGUAGGGAUAACAGCAUAAUCCUUCUCUAGAGAUCUUAUCUAAAGAGGAAAUUGUGACCUCGAUGUUGAAUAUUAAAUCUUUUAGGAGCAAAAUCUUUUGAAGAAAGUCUGUUCGACUUUUAAAUUUUUACA
rnacentral:rRNA from 1 species